CAGCAGCCGCGGUAAUACCGGCGGCCCGAGUGGCGGUCACUAUUAUUGGGCUUAAAGCGUCCGUAGCCGGGUUGGGAAGUCCUCCGGGAAAUCUGGCCGCUUAACGGUCAGAAUGCCGGAGGAUACUCCCAGCCUAGGGAGCGGGAGAGGCCGAGGGGAUUCCCGGAGGAGGGGGGAAAUCCUAUAAUCCCGGGAGGACCACCUGUGGCGAAGGCGCUCGGCUGGAACGCGUCCGACGGUGAGGGCCGAAGGCCAGGGGAGCAAACCGGAUUAGAUACCCGGGUAGUCCUGGCUGUAAACGAUGCGGACUUUGUGUCGGACAAGCUAUGAGCUUGUCCGGUGCCGGAGGGAAACCGUUAAGUCCGCCGCCUGGGGAGUACGGCCGCAAGGCUGAAACUUAAAGGAAUUGGCGGG
rnacentral:rRNA from 1 species